CACCUUGACUGUUGAUUUCUGUAAAGCUGCUUUGAGACAAUGUCUGUUGUGAAAAGCUCUAUAGAAAUAAACUUGACUUGACUAUCUAGGUCUGAUUCCCAUUCCAGAUCUAGAUACAGGGCAAGAUCCACAACCAGAUCUAGGUCCAGGUACAAGUCACAGUCCCCAUAUUACAGGGGGAAAAAAAAGCCAUCAAAGCUUUCUGAGGGCAGUGCACAAAAGGUUAAGAAUCCUGUAUCCGCCACUGCUCAAGCUGUAGAACCCAAAGCGCCUCCAUCUAGUGAAAGUGUCCCAGUGCUUCCUUUGCAUGACAGCCCACCACCUUCUCGAUGGAAACCAGGACAAAAGCCUUGGAAACCACCUUAUGUUCCCAUCCAGGAGAUAAAAGCAAAGAAAGGCUUGCGCUCUGAUAUGUCAAACUCCAGUCAUGCCACUGGAAACAACGUCAAAUGUUCAUGGAAUUUAAGGAAUCCACGUCUCAUAAGGGCCUCAGCAGUAUCAGCCAGUACAGUGGAAAAACCAAGCGACCCGAAGACCCCCGAAAAGGUUCAUCCAGGAGCCGAUUUUCCAGACAUUCAUGAAGCAGAAGUCGCUCUAGUUAUCAGUCCGUGUCACCUGGUCAGUACAGCAGGUCUUCCUCGGCUACUUCCUCUAGCAGGUCGGACUCUUAUUAUUCAUAUAGAAGAACAUCUUCAGAAAGAAAAGAGAAACAUCGUAGUGCUCACCGAAGGGACCAUAAGAGGACCAAGAAUGUGAAAUGUAGCCCUGUCAAAGAAGAUGCAUCUGCCUCCCAUUCAGAUAAUGAAACUGAUUCCACACACGGAGAACUAACAUGAGCACCUGCAUACACAAGAUGGCUGCUGCAGUGUUUUUCUGAACUGUGCAAGGUUUUCAAUCAAGCAAUAAUCCAAAGAAUCCUUUCCAAAACGACAUUUUUUAAAAAGAGAGUGUAAAGAGGAGAUAAAUCAACUUUUAAUUGCAAAAUUGUGGACUUCAAUCAUCUUUUGUGGAAGAAUUUUGGCUGUAGGUGAGCUUUGGGCCUAAUAGGCCUUGAUGACUAAGCCAUGCCACCUAAAGCAACAAACAACAAUACUGAGCAAUAUGCCACCAUGGCUCAAGUAUGUGAAUUGUUGGAACAGCAAAAAGACCUCUUCAGAACCUUGCUUGAUCAACAAGAAAAAAGCUUCAAAACCUGUGUUCAAAUCAUAGUUGAUUCUUUAAACAGGAGAAUUGAUGACUUGUCAAAGCAGGUUUAUGAUUUUAAGCUGCAGUGCGGAUAGGAGGAGAUGCACACCAGAUGGCAGGAGCUGCAGUGUGUAUAGCAGCUAUUCCAACUUUAUUUCUCGCAAUUCCAACAUUUUUUCUCGCAAGUGGAUUUAAUUGCGAGGCCAGAGACGACGCUUAUAUAACAGUCGUGGUCCAAAUUAUGUUUGGCAUGUGGAUUGGUAUGACAAACUAAAACUCUAUGGAAUAUGUAUCAUGGCUUCUCCAGAAAAGUGAUCUGGCGUGAAGCAUACAAAACCAACAAUGACCCACAAGUAGUCACAGAAUAUAUUAUAACUGCUGUCAUCAAUAAUAACAGAUGUCCACAAAUGCUGCGUCUUGACCAUGGAUCUGAAAACACCCACAUUGUAGCAAUGCACAGAGUGUGACUCUUGGUUCAAGUACUGGAAAUCAAAGACCUGAAUAUUUGUGGGCCACCUUGAGAAGCCAGCAGUUUUGGAUGGACCAUUCUAAACAGCUGAGAUUCAUGCCAGAUUAAUCAGUUUCUCCUAUUAGAGGUCGCCACAGCGGAUCAUCCGUCUGCAUACCCCCCCGGAUAUUUUUAUCCGUGGAAACAAACAUAUCUGAGUAAAUGUAAUGUUGACUAAUGCUGAUUCUUUUGCCCAUUUUUAAUAGUUAAAAGAAAAUAGGUUUAAUAAAAGUGUAAUUAAAAAUAAAUGACAUUAAAGUACAGGUGCUUAAUGUUUCUUUAUUAAACUUAAAGAUAUUUGAACACUUUCAUCAGUACAUCAUUCACUGUCUUCGAACCAUUUCUUAGUUAGAAGAUCCAAUUGUUAAAAGUGACCACUCUAAGCAUCAUUUGGAGCAUUUCAACAUUGAACAUUUGAUCAUUUUGAACAUUUUAAGACUACUGUACAUCGUUCACAACAACUUUUACUUUUCCAGCUGAGAGAUAAAAAAACAGAUUUAAUCCCCACACCAUUUAAAUGAUAAACAAUAAAUCGGCUAGUUGCAAGAGUAGUAAAGUCCACGUCAAUUAACCAGUAAACUGUAAUAACAACUAGAACAUGGAGACAAGUUUUCAUUUAAUUUUCCCCAAUACCAGGAUUGUCUUCCAGAAUUAUUAACAAAAAUAGCAAACAGGCUAUUUGUAUUUAUGUUGGUGCCACACCUUGUGGUUUAAGUGAAAUUAAAAAAUUCAAGAGGUCUUACUAAACAGCUUAUUGUAUUGGGAAUGCUUCAUAAAAUUAAAGCACCAUGUAAAAAAAAAAAACAUUAGGAAAUUAUUACAAAUUAUAUCAACAGGCUCAGGCACUACACUGUCCAUGAUCCACACUUUACUCAUACAUUGUUUGCACACUUCUGUUGAUCUAAACGUUGAUCCAGCCAGAUGUUUACAUGUACACUAUUUAUUUCUAUGUGUAUACAGACAAUCGAUUUUGCACAACCAUCUGUACUGUACUGGUCGGUGCUACUGUGUUACUGUUUUUCCUUGUCUCAUGAUGUCUCCUGUCCCCUUAUCCUCCCCCUUUUGCACUAAAUGUUGCACAUGUGGACUUUGUGUUUUUAGUUUAGAGUUCUGUGUAGUUCUGUGUUGCUUUUGUUAAUUUAUGUUGUUUGCUGUAGCGCCAUGGUAAUGGAGAAACCUUGUUUUGUUUCACUGUGUACUGCACUGUAUAUAGUUGAAAUGACAAUAAAGACUACUUUAACCUUAUUCAUUUCAGACCUAAAAUCAGUGUAGCUUUCAUAAUGAAUCGAAAGCCUUAGAAAGCGUCUGCAGUUGCCACUCUUCAGCAGCUGCAGUGGUCUAAGACGUCCGAUAAUUCCUUCUGGUCUGAAUUUCGGAAGUCUGUUUGGCAGGAUUCCAAGGCAAUGUGUUCAGACAUACUUUAGAAAGUUAUCAAUAAGAUUACUUUUCACAUAUGCGAGGGCUGCUUACUUUAAGAUUACUAGAGCAAGGUUAAUGGGGAGGCAUUUCUCUUCUUGCCAACCAAAAGAAAUGAUCCACUCAAAACUCUCCUAUGUUUGCAUUCCAUAAUCAUACAGAAGUAAGGGUACCUUGAAGGUGUGGCCCAAUGCACAUUGUUUAUAGAAUCCAUGCCAGAAUUCAGAAAGGCAAUUUCUAAGAACCCCCCCUUCAUGCUGUCCCAUCUCAUAUUGUCCAUUUGGAAGCAGAAGCUGUAUUUGAAUUUCAGACUGUGUAUGAGUCAGAUUUUUACGUGAUGACAUGAUGGAUGACUAGAAUAAUUUUUCUGGUGUCAAAGGCAAGGUAUCUUCCAGGCUUUGCUCUUUAGUUAUA